ACGGAAGAUCCGAGCGUUAUCCGGAAUUAUUGGGUUUAAAGGGAGCGUAGGCGGAUGAUCAAGUCAGUUGUGAAAGUUUCGGGCUCAACCUUGGAAUUGCAUUUGAAACUGGGUAACUUGAGUGUUGUUAAGGGGGGUAGAAUUCGAGGUGUAGCGGUGAAAUGCGUAGAGAUCUGGAGGAAUACCGGUGGCGAAGGCGGCCCCCUGGACAAAGACUGACGCUCAGGUGCGAAAGUGUGGGGAGCAAACAG
rnacentral:rRNA from 1 species